CUUCCAAGAGUUCCUUCAGAAGGAGCUUUAAGCAUAGGAAACUACCUUAGUAGUGUUAGGCUGCCUCCCCUUCAGAGCUGAGGAUGAACUAAUUUAAUGCUGGCUUUUCAGAAUACAAUACUUAGAGCAUUGUGUAUGCUACUUUUUCCUUUGUUCUCCAAAGCAGAGUGGUACAACUAGAUAUUUUCUGUUUAACAAGUCAAAUGAUCCUUUUUUUGUUGAUUUUUUUAUUUUGUUUUGUUUUUGCAGAGUUUGGGCAGUUCUGCUAGCAAGAUCAUAAUACAGAGUGGACAAAGACAGCAAAGCAGCAGUACUUACGUUCAGGGUUCCAGAGGAAGCCAGUCCUAUGGCCAGGUGAGGCUUUUUUUCUGAAUUGUAUUGAACUUUUCUGUAGGGGACAGAAAUGUCCUUGUGAAUGGGCUUUGGGGUUUGGUCAGUUAUUGGCUUCAUUUUUUAUGUAUGCGGGUUUUUUUGUUUGGUUGGUUUUGUUUGGUUUGUUUGGUUGGUUGGUUUUUGGUUGGUGGGUUUUAGUUUGUUUAGGUUUUGGUAAGGCAGCUGGCUGUUUUUUGGUGUUUAUUUUUCCUUCUUAUUAAUUCUGGGUAGUCCCUGGUUUUGGGUCAUCCCACAGACCUACCAUAUAAGAAAAAGAACAUAAAACAGAGGAAGUCUGAUGAGGAAAUG
rnacentral:lncRNA from 1 species